AGCGCUGACAGACGAAGCCCAGCCUGCUCCUGUGUGUGAGACACCACCUCUGUCCCUCGCUCUCCGUCUCCCUACAUCUGCUUUGUAUUAGCUUGUUGCCAUGCAGGAAAAAACACAAUUCUUUUUGUAGUCUAUUCCAGCCAAUCAGGAAGUGAAUUGGGGGUAGUUUCCUGUUUCCUGUGUUCCCCAGACAGCGCGGACUCGGGCACAGUAGUUCGGUUUCCGACAUUCAUGUGUUCCUCCAGGAAACUGAGAAGAGUCAUCACCUGGCAGAGCGUAACAAUAAUAAGUCUUCUCUCUUUUUCGUCUCCAAAUAUGUGGCAGACUUUCAGCUCUGAGUCAUCAGCCCGACCAUAGUCUCAUGCCAAAGGACAAGACUUUGAUGAAAACAAUGUGAUGCAAGCGUUGCACCGACAUUACUGCGAGCAGAGCACCGUGGGGAUCGAACUGACAGCGAGGAUGACUGCUGCUAGAUGAAGACGCUCCUCCACGGUGGUAGGUUCUGGCCUCUCCGGGACGCGGUUAUUCCAGAGGUUUUGCACAUCUAGGCUCUCCGGACGGCGAUCACACUCCGGCCGCGACCACCGCUGCUGCUGGCUGGUUGAGAUCGAGCGAGCGGAUUCAGCUUCAGACCCGCAGCAGCAGCAGCAGCAGCAGCAGCACCAGUGGAGGAGUGGCCCGAGCAGCACCGCCCUCAUGGGUAUGGAGGGCGAUCCGUGACGGGAAGUGGCCCCCUGGAGGAAGUGGUGCCAUUGAAGAAACUGUAGAGUAGACAAACUAAUAAAAAUAAAAAAAAAUAAGUAAUUAUUAUUAAUAGCACUGCUACUAAUAAUAACAGUGAAAAUAUUUAAUAUAUUAUUAUUAUCAACCAAAAAAUUACACGCUAUUCAAUUAAAAAACACUAAAAUAUUUUCAUAAAAACGGUACAAUUUCCAAGCAAAGGUUUGAAUAAAAAAAACAUCUUUUGGAAAAUAUUUUUUUAAAACAUGGGUCAUUGUUGAACUAAAAACUGAGAUAUAAAAAUCAUAAAUAAGCGAUCAUAAGUCCGCCCUAACGUGCUUUUGCAGCACACUGACCGGCUCAGAUAGUCUCAAUGAGUGUCCCACAACAUACUAGAGAUGAGAAGUGAACGAAAACCUCCACAUUACCUGGCGAUCGCUCUUUGUUGUGAUCUGUAUCCAAAUCUCAGGACGCUAGAACGCAAAUCUCGUUCCGAAAUCGCUCGCGGGCACGAGCUCUCGCGCGAUUUCGGAACGAGAUUUGCGUUCUAAAGUCUCACUUCUCAUCUCUAGUAUGUUGUGGGACACUCAUUGAGACUAUCUGAGCCGGUCAGUGUGGGGCAAAAGCACGUUAGGGUGGACUUUGACAUGGGGGGCCAGCUGCCCCAUACUUUUCGCUAGCCGAGCUGCUAGCUGAGCUGCUAAGCUGCCUGCCUGGCUAAAUACUGGAGCUAUGUCGAAAAUUCAUUUCUCCAUCACUCACAUGUAUGAAAUUACAUAUGGAAACAGAGCCCAGGUUGAAAAAAACCAAAGUUCCCCUUUAAGUCUGUAUGUGUGUGAUUUUUUUGGAUUGCUUGGAUUUAUAAGUGCUAUAAUAAUAAUAAUAAUAAUAUGAUGAAAAUUUCCUAUUUUAAUACUUUUUAUUAUUAUUUGAAGAGGAAGAGCUCCAGAGCAUUAAACUAAAAAUAGGUAAGGGGAGAAAAGUGCUCUUAUUAGUAGUAUUAUAUUAUAUUAUAUUAAUAUAUUAAUAGUUGCUGUUGUAACAUAACGAAAAAAUAACUGCUAACAAUGCAAGCAAUGUGGUCUCGUCUUCUUCACUGUUCACCUUCUUGUGCUGACGUCACUGCAGUGCAUCUCGUGCAUCUUUUUCACGGCUGGCAAACAGACUUUAGGUUCAUUACCGCCAUUCACUGGGCUGGAGUGUGCAUCAGUGUAACCAGUGUGCCAGAAAAUAGGGAACUGGGAAAGUGAUUGCUGUGAUUUAAUGCAGGUUUUUUUAUUGCGUUGUUUUUUCUGUAAUUAAUUAAUCGAAAUUAAUGCGUUGAAGUCCCAGCCCUAAUUUAAGAAUUACAUUUAGUCUGACGCUCUUCUAUAACAAAUAAAUGGAAAUCAGUGUAUUUUUUGGCCUGAUCAAAGUAAAGUAAGAAUAUUUAAUAUUCUCAGUGACAAAUACCAAUAGACUAGAACAUCACUCAAUCUAUGUUCUGUUAGCUGAAACAGCCGCCGAGCAGCAAAUCGAGACCAAACAUAAAAACAUAUUUAUGUGUUUUCUUCACUAAUAACUCAAUGCAUAUAAGUUAAUGGGGCAAUGCAGAAUCAACUUUAGAAAACAACCAGUGAAAGGGUGGAGCUUCUCACUAUUUAAAGUCUUAACCGAAUCUUAAACUCUGAACAAAACCUCCUCAGUAGGAACAGGUUAGAUGUAUGAACCCUCCAUAACGGUGUAGCUGGUUUAAAAAGAGCCACCCUGGUGACACUGAAACUCUGGAUUUAGGCUACAUAUGCCACGCUAACCUAUUAAUAUUGCUUUGUAGUACACCGCUCUGGUUUAUGUCAACCUAGUGUAUUUACAAAUAAUGUGGUUUUUGUAACUCUAUGGGCAACACUAACUUCGUACUCUUCUUCUCUCCAACUGUGAGUUGUGGAAAACAGUAUACAAAACAAUGUAAUUUGGCACGACUAGUGUGAGCUCUCUGCAAGUUUUCAAAAAAACUUGAUUUUUCCUGAUGAUAGACUCAGUCUGGGGAUCAAAUGAGAAUGAGAAUGGUCAAUCAUCAGAUCCGAUAUACAACAUUUUCUGAAUAUUUACGUUGGUAUUAAAACAAACUGAUUAAACUGAAGCUCACUUUUAUUUGCAAAUCAUGAUAAACAGAAUCAUUUAAACAAAGUUUUUUCUGCUCUACUGUGACAGGUGAUUAUGGUUAGUGUUGGUUGGGAAGACUGCUUGUUAGGCUUAGGGUAGGUUAGGUCAAACUGCAAAGCUGACCGAAUCCAGCACAACCAUUAUGGGAUCUCCAUCAAGGACAAUUGACCAUCUUGUUGGCCUUUAUGUCCUUAAAGUUGAUUGUCACAGUGGAUUUUAACCCCUUGUAGGCCACCUGGUGCCCUAACACAUAUGCUGUAAGUGGUGCAAAGGGUUGAUCUCUUUAAUAAAGCAACCUUAACACA